AUUUUCGUGGAUUAGGGAAAACUUGCAUUUUCGUGGAUAUCUAAUGUCAUUGUUAAUGCUAAGUCUGCAAACAUUCCUUUAGAAAAAUUUGUAAUUCGUUGAACAUUUUAAUUCGUGGUUCCCAUGUGAAAACGAAAUCCACGAAAAUUGGUUUCCAACGAAUAUUAAUGAAUUCACAAUAACAGAUGUUUAUGAUAUGAGAGAGAAGUCUUUUAUUGACGUUACCAUUUGGAUAUCAGCUAUGAGUAAUCAAUAAUAAAAAAACCUAGACAAAACAAUAGUACAAACGAAUAAACGUAUCCUACUUUGUAGGCUUACAGAGGGAUGCAUAUAGUUCGUUCUACCUCAUAUUCACGAGUUUUUAAUUUUAUUUACUAAUAAUGUUUCAAUCGAUAAAUAUUCAAGGUUUAUGUUAAUACAAGUUUGUAAUACAUUUAGAAAAGAGGGGCGAAAGAUACCAGAGGGACAUUAAAACUCAAAAAUCGAAAAUAAACUGACAACGCCAUGGCUAAAAAAGAAAAAUAACAAACACACAAAUAAUAGUACACAAAACACAACACAGAAAACUAAAGACUAAGCAACACGAACUCAACCAAAUACUAGGGGUGAUCUUAGGUGAUCCGGAAGGGUAAGCAGAUUCUGCUCCACAAAUGGCACCCGUCGUGUUGCUCAUGUUAGUACAAACCCGAUAGCUAGUUUAAUUCGAUAGGUCAUAGAAAUAUCGUGUUUGCCCCUCUUUCCAUACAGAUUUGAACUACAUACAUUCACACAACGUUAUUUCAUUCACUGAAACGACAUAAGUGACAUGUCACAUUGUAUAUUAUGAUAAAGAUGUUUUCUAAAUACUUUAUGACAUGUUUACAUCAUGUCUAUAUUAUACGACGUGUUAUUGGUUUUUAAUGUUUAGUUUGACUAAUUUGAUAAUGUCAUAUUUGAAAUAAAACUUGAACUCACUUUUGCUUUUUUCGAAUAAUAUUUUCAUGAAAACAAAAUAUCCCUUCCAUGAACAAAUGAUUUUCAAAUAAAUGACCAUUAUCUCAUGAAUUAAUUGAUAUUUGAUUAAACAUGUCUCUAAAUUUGCACAUGUUAGUAUGUUGAGUUUAAUCAUACAUAUGUUUUAUAUAUCUAAUUUUAACGAAUUGAUUCAUGUUUUCCUUUUUCAUUUAAAGAAAUGUUUAAAACGUCUAUAUAUGAGGUAUUUACAAACAUAACCUUAAUUAAUUCCACUGACAUCCAAAGGUGAGUAAUAUUUUAUGUUUUUUUUAGUUCAAAACUUAUUAUAGAAACGUCUAAAAAAAUGUUUUAAAGUACAUCAGCACAAGCAAAUGAUUAUAAUUUUGAAUAAAGAAAUAUUUUUUCAUGUCACAAUACACACAUUUAAACUAAAAACACUAUUACCCUAUGAUUGUUUUUCGCGCAUAUGCGUUGAUAUUGGCAAGUUUGGAUCAACUGCAUAACAGUUUGUUAUCCGCAGACUAGACUUUACAAAGUACACCACAUUACACAAACACUAGUCUACAAAAAACAAAAUACAUAAUAGAAGUAACAAAAAAAAAAAAAAAAAAAAAAAAAAAAAACAGAGGAUAUAGGGUAUUUAACGAUGACAAAAAAUCAGUACAUAUAAGUUUUUGUGAUAUUAUAUGGAUAUACAAAAGUGUUUACAUGAACCUACUGUUUUACCUGUAUUUUUAACAUAGACAUUUAUUUUUCAGUCGAAGAUUUUGCUUAACACAUCUGACUUACAGUUGAGAAAGAUUAUGCAAUAUCUUGACUAACCAUUCUUGUUCCUGUUGUAUAUAUCCUACAUUAUAUGUCGGCAGUGAAAAUAAUUGGUCGUUAUUACUCUUCCUGAACUUAAAAAUGAAAAAUGGUACGAUAGAAGGACGUUGGAGUUUGUAAUGGAACACACUGCAUGUCGGUUAGACCGCGACGGAGCCCAACUAUGGAGUGAUAUCGUACAGUAAUUCUAACUUUCAUCAAAAGAAUGAUUACGACGACUUUCAUUAAUUUUACUGAAACAUUUAAAGGAAUAAAAAAAGAUAAUGAGCAUGCAAGAAUUAGGACCACAGAACAUCUCCAAUACACACUAGUGACUCACAGUCGGACAAUCGAGUGAAUGUUACAAGGAAUAUGAUGUUAAUUAUAAAUAUAUAAAACAUGGGACAUUCGAAUCGGUAAAUUGUGAUUACAUAUUAAAGCAUUAUCCAUACUGCCGACGUAUUCGGGACAAUGGUAUCAAUAGACCAAAGCGAAAUAUAUGUCAACUUGUGUUGAAAAUAGUUCUAAAAUAAACUCGAACUGAUUUAACUGGCAAAUAUGUAUGAUAAUCAAAAGCAAAAAAACGUCUACCGUAUUCAAUUAAAAAAGGCGAUUUGGUAGUUGAAGCAAGAUGUGAACUAAAGUACAUAUGCAUACACCAAUCAAGAUGCAUAAAUGACAGACGUAUAAAUGAGUGGUUAAGUUAGAUUCUUAAGAGCUUUCAUUGAGGGAUUUAUAAAAUGUUGGUGUUUGAGUGAAUGUAUUCUGAGAUGCAUUAUACACAUAACAUUAUUUACACGGGUAAAAGCGGGAAGUUUAAAUUGAGAAUAGCUAAUGCCCAUGCUCCUUACAGUGGACAAUACGUCAGAAUGUGCAUGCAUUUAACAAAAUGUGUAUGAUGCCGUGAUGCAAUUAUAUUACACCAUCCAAAAUAUAUUGCAGCUUAUAUAAUAUAUUUUGUUGCAUCAUUUAUUGACAGGGGAUUCAUAAACGCAAUACUUUGAAUUCGGUAAAUAAGUUCGCAAAACAGUCAAUGCAUACUGUUUUUUUUUUGGCUUACAUGUUCGAUUUUCAAUAAAUUAUUAAAGUUCACAAAAAGUCAUGUGUUAAAACAAUCACAAAACGUUGAAAGCUAUUACGUAAACAUAUAAGCAUUUAAUGCAAAAUAUAUUGAUUGUCUUUUAGGCAUAAUAAAUAAACAAAUAUCAAUCAUGAA